ensembl:snRNA U2 U2 spliceosomal RNA
ACUGCUUCUCGGCUUUUUUGGCUAAGAUCGAGUGUAGUAUCUGUUCUUAUAUUUGUAUCCAGUUGUCUAACUCACUUAUUAGUAGUUCGUCUUUCUCCACUGAUGUGAGAUGUCACCUUUG